UACGUAGGGGGCAAGCGUUGUCCGGAUUUAUUGGGCGUAAAGAGCGUGUAGGCGGCCAGAUAGGUCAGCUGUGAAAACUCGAGGCUCAACCUCGAGACGCCGGUUGAAACCAUUUGGCUAGAGUCCGGAAGAGGAGAGUGGAAUUCCUGGUGUAGCGGUGAAAUGCGCAGACAUCAGGAAGAACACCCGUGGCUAAGGCGGCUCUCUAGUACGGUACUGACGCUGAGACGCGAAAGCGUGGGGAGCGAACAGGAUUGAGAUACCCU
rnacentral:rRNA from 1 species